GAGCCUACGGGACGCAGCAGUGGGGAAUAUUGCACAAUGGGGGAAACCCUGAUGCAGCAACGCCGCGUGAGUGAAGAAGUAUUUCGGUAUGUAAAGCUCUAUCAGCAGGGAAGAAGAUGACGGUACCUGAGUAAGAAGCCCCGGCUAACUACGUGCCAGCAGCCGCGGUAAUACGUAGGGGGCAAGCGUUAUCCGGAUUUACUGGGUGUAAAGGGAGCGUAGACGGUGAGACAAGUCUGAAGUGAAAGCCCGGGGCUCA
rnacentral:rRNA from 1 species